AUGGAAUCAAAAGGCUCCUGACAAAUAGAGUUAAUGACCCCAAGGUCAGAGAAAGUCCUGGGGGGAGAGGAAAAACAGCCUCUUCUGAAUGGAUGGAACGUUGGGAAUAGCUGGUGACUUGCCUUGGGGUUUGGUCUGUAAAUUCCGAGCAUAAGUAUGGUCGUUGGGAAAUACAGGCUGAUCUCAUAGAGAAUAUUCUGGAAGACAAUUGAUGAGAGUAGCUCUUCCUGUCUUUGCUCCACAUCCUCCUUAGGCAAACAGAACUGCCUGCAGUUUGAAAUGGACAAUCAGACACCGCUAACAGCUGCAGCCUGAAACUUCGGUUCUUGGCAAAAGGAUCCUGACACAAAAGCAUUUCUUUGUGGAAAAUUAUGCAUUCAUCGGGCUCAUUUGAAGCAAAAUAUGAUUUGCAUCUUAACUUCCUGUAACAAGCUCCACUUCUGAGGAUUUCAUAAUGUCUGAUUUUGUUGCACCAGAUUGGUGGGGCACAUGCUUUACCAAAAACAGUUUAAAUUCAGGCCCAGGUUUUUCUUAUUUUAAAUAGCAACAGCUGCUAGGCAUGGUAAUUAUUGUAUUUUAUCAAAAUAAAGUCACCAAGUUGCUUCUGAAUGUUCCUCGGAGCUGCUCCGCUGGGGGCUGGGGUCCUCGGGGCUGUCAGAAGCACAGCAGUGAGCCUCCAGGGCCGGGGGAUGGCUGAGCAAUUCCAAGGACAGAGGCAGGAAACAGUCCUGAUGGAGGCAGACCCCGUAACAUAAUUCCCUCGAAUACUUUCUCUCUGCAGUGCCCAGCAGUUCCAGAUUUCUGAAAGAUCAGAGGAUAUGGGAGGGAAGGAAUUGAACACCAGGAAUCAACUACGUAUGGGGCACUGCUAGGGGAACAUCAUGGGUUACAGUGUGAUUGAGUUCCUUUAGGGAGAAUCCAGAUCAGGCCAUUCUGCUUACAAUCCUCUUCCAGUGGCUUCUUAUUCCUGUGGUCUCAACCUCGGCUGCCCAUUGGAAUCCUCAGAGAGCUUAAAAACAGACAAACAAACCCCACUGCCCGGGUUGCUGCCCAGCCCAAUUAUAUCAGAACUGGCAGGGGUGGGGUCUAGACAUCAGUGUUUGUUUAAAGAUCCUGGAUGACUCCGAUGUGCAGUCCUGGCCACAGCCAGGGCGGCCCUGACUGAUCUCAGACCAUCUUCAAACACCCGCCCUGUCCGAACUCAGGGUAAGUUACUGGUCUUUCAGUUCCUUGGUCUGCUUUCCACCACAGGAAGAUCCAGCUUCCCAUGUCCCAGAGGAACCUCUGCCAGCUGGCCUCUGCCCACCGCGCCAGUCUCUCCUGGACCCUGCCCUUCUCUCCCAUGGCCCUUCCGUUCUUUUCUGGCCCUUAAAUACAUCCUUCCUUCCAGAACCUCUGCACCUGUAGUCUCCUGUACCUCCUUCUGAUAACGUUUUCUUUCCCCAGGUCCUCCCACAUCCAACUUACCAUGCAGGCCUGAGGAGAAGGCCUUCUGUGACAAGCUGUCUCUAACCUCGCCUGGUGGUUGCCAUGUCAUUACUGCACUGUUUCCAGUGUAGCAGGUCCCGCCUGAAGUCAUCUUGUUUGCCUACUUCAGAGCUGCCAACUGAAUGUGCCGCGCUAGACUGUUGGCUGAUGUGAGAGGCACAUGGACUCACCAUUGCCCCAGAUGACAGCCGGCCAGCUUCCAAAGCAGAGCUCCCUGGGGACUUGGCAGCUGAUCUUAGACGCAUGAGCGUGCCCAGCCAGGACCAGCAGGAGAAUUGCCUAGCUGGUCCCAGUCUAAAUUGCUACCUCUUGAAUUGUGAGCUACAAAUAAAUGGUAGUUGUA